rnacentral:tRNA from 1 species
UCGGGAAGUAGCUCAGCUUGGUAGAGCACAUGGUUUGGGACCAUGGGGUCGCAGGUUCGAAUCCUGUCUUCCCGACCA